UGGGGAAUAUUGCGCAAUGGGGGAAACCCUGACGCAGCAACGCCGCGUGAAGGAUGAAGGUCUUCGGAUUGUAAACUUUUAUCGAUGGGGACGAAAAAAUGACGGUACCCAAGUAAGAAGCCCCGGCUAACUACGUGCCAGCAGCCGCGGUAAUACGUAGGGGGCAAGCGUUAUCCGGAAUUACUGGGUGUAAAGGGUGAGUAGGCGGUUUGACAAGUCAUAUGUGGAAAUCUGAGGCUCAACUUCAGACGUGCAUAAGAAACUGUCGAACUGGAGUGUGGGAGAGGUAAGCGGAAUUCCUAGUGUAGCGGUGAAAUGCGUAGAUAUUAGGAAGAACACCAGUGGCGAAGGCGGCUUACUGGACCACAACUGACGCUGAAUCACGAAAGCGUGGGGAGCAAACA
rnacentral:rRNA from 1 species